UACAGAGGAUGCAAGCGUUAUCCGGAAUGAUUGGGCGUAAAGCGUCUGUAGGUGGCUUUUUAAGUCCGCCGUCAAAUCCCAGGGCUCAACUCUGGACAGGCGGUGGAAACUACCAAGCUGGAGUACGGUAGGGGCAGAGGGAAUUUCCGGUGGAGCGGUGAAAUGCGUAGAUAUCAUUUGGAACGCCAAUGGUGAAAACAGGUAGCUGGGAGUGUGCUGACGCUGAGACACGAAAGCCAGGGGAGCAAACGGG
rnacentral:rRNA from 1 species